UACGUAGGGACCAAGCGUUGUUCGGAUUUACUGGGCGUAAAGGGCGCGUAGGCGGCCUGCUAAGUCGAACGUGAAAUCCCUGGGCUCAACCCAGGAACUGCGUCCGAUACUGGUUGGCUUGAAUCCGGGAGAGGGAUGUGGAAUUCCAGGUGUAGCGGUGAAAUGCGUAGAUAUCUGGAGGAACACCAAUGGCGAAGGCAGCUCGCUGGGACGGUACUGACGCUGAGGCGCGAAAGCGUGGGGAGCAAACAGG
rnacentral:rRNA from 1 species